GGGAAUGGAGAGRUUCUGUAAAGAACAGUCACUGUGGRUUAAUGAACAUCUGUUCUGUUGAAAAUUGGCAUGGCAAGGUGUACUUCAAAUAUUUGCCUCCUCCAAUGUUUUCUAAAAUGAGGUCAUGCCUGUAAAGGACCAGCAGUACAAAGACCCUGAGCUGAUUUUUAUGAAGCUGAAGCACUGUCAGGCUAACUGAAUCUUUAAGGAUAAGAAAAUAGAAGUCCACAAAUCUACCAUUGAAGAAGAGAAACAGAUUCACACUAACACAAGGCAAAAAUUGGAGCUGCUCAGUGAUGGAGAGCCUGGAGUUGUCCUGUCUGACCAGGAGGCGAUGCAAAGGGCCCAGUGUGUACAGAUCAGAGGAGAAUUCACUGCUCAGCUGUUUGCCUUUCUCCCUUCUUAGUCUGCCCCCACAGCCCUGCUGCAAACACCGGAUAUCAGGGCUGUGCAGGAGCUGUAACUUCACUCGUGACUCAGAGAUGUUGGGAACCACGGAUGUGUCAGCCAAGAUGUCUCUGCCUGUUUACAAAGAGCCCAUGCAGUAGUGAGGGUGCUUUAUUCAGCAGUAUUAUCAGGAGCUGUGGGGAGCAGUAGAGAAGUGUGCUGAUUACUCGGGAUGUGGAGACUUCAGUGAGAAUUGAGGAACAGUGAAGAGAAGCAUCCCUGUCUGAUGUGCAGCACAGAUCAUAUGCUGUGUCCAGAUAAAGGAGCAGACACUUUGAGAUCCUGCUUCUCCAGUCAUCCAGGUCAAAGUAACAUCCAGUCAGGCUUUGCAUGGCAUGAGGCAGAAACAGGAUUUUCUAGCAUGGGAACCAGGGCGAAUCUCAGAGCAACUCCACGUUAGAAACCUCAUGUUGCAAGCUGAACUCUGGUCAGACCAAUUUUGUUACUGCUGAUGGGGAAAGAGUAGAARGCAAUGGGCUGGCAAACAGGGAAAAGGCCUUUAACUAAAGGGUAAGAAAUCAGAAGAGAGGAGAUGCUUACAGCACUUUGACUCACMUGAAAACACUCAACAAAUURCAUGCCAAGGUGAAUAGGUUAUUUACACCAGUAGGAGUGAAAAGCAGACUUGUGAGUAGAAGCAACCACUGUCCUCUGUUGGAAACAGCACUGCUGCCUGAUCUGCUAUGGCUGCCCUCCUGUUGUUUUAGUAGCAGGCUGGGCUUGAAUGGUCCCAUUCAGAAAUAUCCAGAGUUCCCAAUGCUGAUCCCAGAGGCAUUGCUUUCCAGUAGACCAAUUCAUCAAUUUUCUCUAAUGCUGUUCAUUCAACGUGCACUGAAAGUGUGCACAUGAUGCAAGUCCCUAUCAUUCUCCUGUGUACGUGUGAUGCCAAAGAAGUGGCAGCCACCAAUGCUGGUUAACUCUUGGAAAUGACAGAAAUCCUGGCUGCUAAUGGCAGAAGGGGAGUSGGAAAUGACAGGCUGGCAAAUGACAGGCUAGCAAAUGACUUGUCAGAAACAGAUAUUUAUAUGAGUGCUGGAAUGCCACUGUCAGAGGUGGACAUUUAGGAGGGGAAACAAAAUAAUGAUAAGAUGCUGAACYCCCUCAUCCCUUUCACUAUGCCYCAGGAAAAGGUAAAUUAUACUCAUYACCCAGCAAAUGUUCUUAAAUUUAGUUCCCACAGGAGAAUUUGCUGAGCCAUAUACACUUGUCCAGUCAGAAUGCCCCUGCUUGUUUCUGUGGUUUGUGUUCUGGUACAUUUGAAGGUUGCUUUUGUAUUUUAGGCAGGCAACAGGCCUUGAAAGAGACUGGCAAGCUUUGAGAGCAGCCUGGGGAUGUUCUUUUUCAGUUAAUUCAUCUCUGUCCUUCUCUCUGCUUUCAGUGGAUGCAAAAGGCAAGGAAGGCUGGCUGGGUCAGUCCAGGAAUAUGAUGGUACCUGUCUGUAUCUGUUUACACCGAGUGGUGUCRUGCAUCCCAACAUCUCUGUCUCCAUGAAGUGUCUGAUUGUUUGGGAUGGAAUGCAGACAUCUGCAUGUAGACAUCCAGCUAGUUUCUACCUUGUUGUUAGAUAUUUUCAGGCAGAAAGAGGGUGACAGCCCCUGCCUCUCCUGUCUGACAGGCACUCUGGAUGGAUGGAAGAGGCUAAAUUAAAACCAGCAGAAGUGGACUUUCUGGUUUUUCUUGAUAACUGGUGUAGAGAAGGGAGCAGUCUGUGCACUGCAAUUAACAUCAAGUGCUAUUGCAACUCGUCCUGUAAUGCGAUAUAGAUACAAUCUCAGCAGAAAAUUGAAUCCUGCGCUGAGUCAGAAGCAGAGCAGUGCUGGGUUUUGAAGAAAGUAAUUAGCCCCAGGGACCCAGUGGUUUCUCAUUUCCCCUGUGGCAAACACAGGGAAGUGGGGCAGUGCUUCCUGUAGGUUUCCAAAAUCAAUUUAGACAAGGUUCAGAGCCAAAUUAUAAAUCAAAUUUUAAAUGAAUACUCAGCAAGGGGCAGGCACACCUUCAUUCUUCCUGCAGUGCCCACCAAGUACCACUCAGUGCCAUUCUGCUGUUCUUUUGUGAGCUCUGAGUGCCCCAUCUCUGUCUGGGCACUGAGCCCAUUGCAGCAAUGCUGUGACAGCGUGUGCCAGACCUUCAGGGUCACCAUUCACCACCCUUGGCCAGGGUGACCUGUGCUCACCUCACCACCUCUGCCUGUCAGCCCUUGGUUCAGCAGUGGCCCAACACUUCCCAAUGCUGCCCUGUGCUUGGCCUUCACUAAAUCAAUGAUUUGAGGUUUUGCAGAACUCAUUGAUCACAAAUUCUGCUUUCUUUCUCCAGCAGAAGAUCAGAAGUGUACAGAAAUAAGACCCUGGUAGCCAAGAAAAUUUUAAUCUUACUAAAGACAGGAUGUACUGGCUGAAAGCUGCAGCUUGAAAUUAAUACAAGAAACAAAKAAUUGACUUGUUCAGGUAAUACAGCAGGGAUAAGAGUAGUCUUUAUUUAUGCUCUGUCUUUAAAUUAGAAUUAAGUUUAGAGCUCAAAUAUGUACAGUCUGCACCUGUUUGGGUGAUGACAAGUUCCACCAUCCAGGAUUCUUGCUCCUGCUCUCCUGACAUAACACUUGUCACCUUUCAGUGGUUUGUCACAUCCAGAAUAAAAUCUGCAGGGCCUUUGGGGCAUAAUCACAUCCUUGUCUCUUAUGAAAUGCAUAGUCAAUUUGAGGCUCUGCAGUGAAAUGAAAUGCUGUGUGUUUCAAUGAGUUUGUCACACUGGUUUGUGAUUCCUGCACCUCUUUUCCCUGAAGCUGCACCCAGCAGUGACAGCCAAUAUCUUACAUGGUUCAUACCUUAUGUGCCUGCAAURAACACUUUUGUUCAACACAUGUCCAGAAGUGCAUGGCCAAUGUAGCCUAGUCUGUGUGCUGCCUCAGAGGAGAGUUUUGCCUCACCCUUCUUUCAUUCAAUUGAUGGAAAAACAAAAGAUCCUAACGAUCAUAAUCUGAAAUAUAAUUAUUUCCCUAGUUUUGUAUCUUAAAAUACUGGACACAGGAGUUUGCUUAGGAAGUAACUGCAAAUCUCAUAAUUUGGACUCUAUAAACUGUCGUGGCUGCUGAUCCCAAGCAYAUUCCCAAUCUUCUGGAUUCCCUAAGUGCCCUCUAGUGACUAAUUCUUUGAACUGUGUUGGGUUUUCACAACGAGGUGAAUGUCGGUGAGACACCAGCCAYUGAAGGGGUGGUUGGUGAGGGCAGGAACAGGAUAAAUGUCCUCAGAUUAUUUUGUGGGCAGCACUGGUUUGUUCUGCAGAAGCAAAUAGAAGUGUUUGUUGAGCAUCUGCAGAAAGCUCCGGGCAGCAAAGGAGAGAAUGUGUAUGUGCUCCUGUUGUGGAAGUAGCAUGUCUGAGCUGAAUGAGUCAAAUCAAGUAAAAACCACUGAAGAAAAACUGUGGGGCUGACACUGCACAACACUUGAAUGGUUUAGGUGAAGUGUGGCAUUAAUGCAAUUUUCCUGAAUAUUAAAGAUUCAUGUUCUUCAAUACUAAUUCACCAUGUUGAAUUUGUUUCCACAAUGAAUUGGCAUCUCAGUUUUCAUGUAAAUGGAUCAGUGCUGUUAGCAUUGCUUUUCAUUCUGCAGCAAAAAGCUGGUUCUUUUUUUCUGGUGGUGCUUUAGGUAUGGGGUUUUUUGGUUGUGUUUUUCCUUUUUCUGAGUUAAAAAUCAAGCACCUUUUAAACAUGCUUAAUUGCAUCCAUUAAUACAGCCAGUGUAGGAGUUUGGUUCAGGAACUGAUUUAUCUGGGCUAUUAAAGUCAUAUGACAAUGUGCUGAGGGCCAGAUAUGGAGGUGGUKUGCAGACUGGCACAUACAAGRUUUCUUUAUGUUCUUACAUUGUAUUAGCUGCCCACCAAGUUCUUUACGCCUACUCAGUUGGCAGGUAAGGGAUGCUGGGGCGGUGUAAUUUACGUGGUAAGCUCAUCUUACCAUAUAAGCAUUAAGAACAUAUAAUUGAAAUGCACCUCUCCUURUUUGAACUUGCUUCUUUUCUUCUGUCCUACUUUGUAUUUGCACUCUGUUCAAUACUACAGGCCACAGACCUUAUUUGCAUGACUGGAUGUUUACAGAAAAGUUAAUUUUCUUCUUCAACUGGUAGCAURAAUAUUGGGGAAAGCAGAGUUUCAUAUGGAUUUAACCAUGGAGCAAAAUCUCUCAUUUACCUGAAAUAGAUGUAUAGGGAGARUUCAGGGGAAGAAGGCAAACUGGGAUUGGCUCGAGAAAUGAUCUGGAAAAGUGAGCUGUGGAAGGAGCAGCCACUGUUGGGAUUUAAAGAACAUGUCAACCUGCAUGAUGAACAUUUGUAUUUGUCUGUGUAACUCCAGUGGCAACCAGCGACAGGACAUGAGGUCAUGGAAUGAAGCUGGGCCAGGGGAAGUUCACACUGGAAUUUUGGAGAAGGUUCUUUCCUGAGAGGAUGGUUCGUUGGUCACCAGAACAGGAAAGCCAGGAAAGUCUUCACAGCUCCAAGCCUGCCAGAGUUCCAGGAACAUCUCGUCAUCGAGUUUAGUUUUAGGUGGUCCUGUGAUGAGCAGGGAGUUGGACCUGAGGAUCAUUAUGGGUUGAUUCCAGCUUGACAUAUUCCACUAUUCUAACUCUAGCAAUUUUUUUUCAUUAGCUGAACUAAUUUU